rnacentral:lncRNA from 1 species
AAGAAAAAGGAGUAUACAGAAGUUAUCAGCAAAAUGAAGAAGGCUGUGUGAGCUUCCAAACAGUGAGAGUUGUUGAACUCCCAUGGCUUUGCAAACAAGGUGGAAAGGGAGAUGAAAAGGCUAAAACCAAUGUAUAAAAAGAUCUUCCACCAGGUCCAAUCUCCACAUAAAUGAUUGAAUGAAGAGCUCAAAGCAUAACAGACAAGUCCAACAAUAGAUGAAACAAAACACACAAAUCUCCAUACCUUUGGCUGCAGCAGCCUACUCUGGAUUUUGAUGAGCAUUAUCACUUAAGCAAGGUUUGGGAACAAAGAAGAUGUUGAAUAAAUUAAAAUUGUAUAUAGACAAAAUCAUACAAAUUUCUAAAAUUAGUUUGUGAUGACAAAAUGUUUGUAUUCUAAAUCCUCACAAAAACUUCCUUUCCUUUUCUUCAGCCUUCAUGCAUUGGUUACAAGAAACAAACGGCUCAGGCGAUCUUGAAUGUUAUGCAUUCCAUACCUAAUGAACUUAUAAGCAUCCUUACCAACAACAUCAUGAAUCAUUCCAAUGAAGGUUCCAUAUGCAGGCAACAAUGUGUUCUCUAUGGAUUUUAUCAUACGUUCCCUUAGCUGAUCAUCAAAGAUAAACCAUUCAGACUGAGCUUUGCAUAUCUCAUUGAAGUGCUGGUUGAACAAUUUGAGCUUCUUUUUCAUAGACUCUGCUACCAACUCCCUUCUGUUUACUUUCAAAAGGUCCAAUAUCUUGUCACACGAGCUUCUUUGAUAGAGUUCAAUGUUCUGGUUGAUCUUUGAUUUGUACCAAUCUUGGCCUAAAAUGUCUCCAUAUAUAUAGUAUUCCCCGUAUUGUAAAAACAUCAAAUUAUUUAUCAUGAAAACAUGGCCUAAUGCUGGGUCUGUGUAGCUUCUAGAGUUGGCUUCCAAAUUUGAGUCUAACACUUUUAUUAUUCUACCCACCUGAUCUGAAAAUGAAGAUACUCCCUUUCUAAUUGGGAAAGUCUCAUCAUCUGUGAAAACUUCUCUGAGAUAAUCAAUCACUUUGUGGGUAGUUGGGUGAAUCCCACCAUUGGGAACACUCUCCUUAGCCACUUCACGGUGAAUAAGACUCUCCAACUCAACAAAAACACCCAAUCUCUUCCCAACAAGAACUGCACCAUUUCUGAGUGAUUCACUGAACAACUGACCAUAAAACAGUGAAUCAAACAUUGGAAUGAGGUCAAUCAAAGUCUUGAACACGUUGGGAAUGACAUGGACCAGAUGGUAAGACCAUUGAUGAUUCUCAGUUGCUAAUGUAUUCACAAAUCUCAACAGACUGAUACUCAGUUCACUGCAAACCUCACUGAAUGCGAUAUCUGCAUUGUAAGACUGUGGGAACACGAGAUCACAGAGAAUCCUUUCAUUGGGAAACAGUAUCCUCACAGUUAUGUUCAGACCUUUUAUCAAACACUCUAUCUUCUCCAUCUUGUCAAAGUCCUCCACCUUGAGCUCUUCAACUUCCAAACCGAAUUUCGAUAAACACUGCUUGAGAAACAACCUCCUACAACUGCUGUACAAACUGCAGCACUCAUUCUGAAACAUCAACCUCCCGGUUUGGCGAAGUUUGUCGAUGAGUUCCACCGGUAGCAUGUCUUUCACCAAAUUGUCGUCAGCUUGUAUUUCCGGCACUGCAAUCUGGUCUUCCUUCACAACAUUAGCCUUAAGGUAUUCACCCACAAGCUUCAAAAUUGUGUCGAUAACCUUUUCAUUCUCCUUUUCAAGUUCUUCUAUAUAACUCAUAAAAUGCAUCCUGGCAAUAGCUCUACGACUAUUAUUGCCUUGUUGUAAAGGUGAGCCAAGGUGGGUAGGAUCAGCUUGGGGAGGAACAGGAACAUGGGGUGAAUCGGGUGGAGAAACACUUCCACUGCUUACUUGUGAUUGUGAUUGUGAUCGUGGAUCAAUGCGAAUGCCUGCAAGAUCUUGGUAUAAGGGUUGAGGAUCUAAAAUGGAACGAAGACGGAGGAGGGAAUAGCUGAAACACCCUCCAACAAUGACCAACCAUAGUUUGAUUUUCAUGAGCUGCACUAUUAGAACUCCACUGAAAAAAUAGAGAAGAUCAACCUCGAAUCCAAAGGGACUCAGAGUUGACAAUCCCAGAGACAUGAUAGCAAAUGCAGCAUUCGAAACUAGGCUAUAUACAUCUGGUUUUCCUUUCACUUUUGUAUCAACAAAAAAGGAGUACACAGAAGUGAUGAUCAAAACCAAAAAGGCUGAAUGAGCUUCCAAGGGGGAAGAGGUAGUGCGUUCCCUUGUGAUGGUGAACUUAGAUAGAAAGAAGAUGAUGAUGCAAAGAGUAAAAGCAACGUAGAGUAAUAUUUUCCACCAUUUCCACUCUCCAAAUAGUUGAUUGAAAGAGGAGCUGAGAGCGUAACAGAGGAGUCCAACAAUAGAUGAAACAAAACACACCAGUUUCCGUACCUUUGGCUGCUGCAACCAUCUCUGAAUUUUGAGGAGCAUGAGCACCGUGUUCUUCCUGGAGCAUCCAAGGUUUUGGUUAUGGAAGAGACAAACUGAGUGCCGCCAAUUUUGAUUUAGUAUUUCACAUUUUGAUGCAAACAUGAACAAAUGGAAUGAAGGUGCUUGUUCCAAGUCUUGGUCAAUCAUCCGUGUCCCACAUCGACAGUGCAUUAG